ACCUCCUCAGGAAGGGGAAGGGGUGGUGAUGGAGACCCUGGGAGCAGGUGCCUGGCAGGACCCGUGGGCACUUCCUUAGGAAGGGGAAGGGGGUGUUGAUGGAGACCCUGGGAGUAGAUGCCUGGCAGGACCCGUGGGCACCUCCUCAGGAAGGGGAAGGGGUGCUGAUGGAGACCCUGGGAGCAGGUGCCUGGCAGGACUCCCAAACAGAACAAGUAGCCUUAGUACUCAUGCUUUGGGGGCGAGUUGGGGAUUCCCAGUGUGGAUCUUGGUGCAGAACUAAAUGAAUUUCCCUUUACUUCCAGUAGUACCGUCUGCAUACAGUUAAGUGAUUUUAUAUCGGAGACUUGAUGACUAAGGCUGUUUUUUGGUAUUUUUUUUUAAUUUCCUGGCUUGAUAAGCUAUGGUUAUAAUUAAGACUGCCGGUAGUGUAUAGGUAGAGGGCUGCCUUUUCCCUUGAUGGGAGGUUGGAGAAUAGAUCAGCUGAUUUUCUAUUCUUGAAUUCUGAUAUGGCUUAAAAAUACAUUUCAAAAUCUGAGCCUUAGAGAUAAGCUAGCCGUUAUAACUCAGUUCCAUUUUAAAAUAAUUCUGCUGGUUUCAGAAAUGUGAGUUAUAAAAGUUAAUGUAAUCCCUUACACUUAGGAAAGUGAAAUGGGAAUUCAUAGCGGCCUUGAUUGCAGGCACAGUACAUUUUGUAUUAUUCUGUCUGGCCUCCUAUUACAAAAUUUUGUAUUUCUUUUUAGGGUUGUUUUGUUUUGUUUUGUUUUUUAGAUAUUUGUUUCUGUUGAGAAGCAGAGCGUCCAUUCUGGUUCACAGCCUGAAUACCAGCAGCCCAGGGCUGUCUCCCCCAUGGGUACCAGGGACCACCUACCUGAGCCCUGCCUGCUGUGCCCCAGAAUGCGUAUUAGCAGGAAAUGAGAUUAGGAAU